AACAUUUGAGUGAGUGGCGGACGGGUGAGUAACACGUGGGUAACCUGCCCUAAAGUGGGGGAUAACAUUUGGAAACAGAUGCUAAUACCGCAUAAAACCUAGCACCGCAUGGUGCAAGGUUGAAAGAUGGUUUCGGCUAUCACUUUAGGAUGGACCCGCGGUGCAUUAGUUAGUUGGUGAGGUAAAGGCUCACCAAGACCGUGAUGCAUAGCCGACCUGAGAGGGUAAUCGGCCACACUGGGACUGAGACACGGCCCAGACUCCUACGGGAGGCAGCAGUAGGGAAUCUUCCACAAUGGACGAAAGUCUGAUGGAGCAACGCCGCGUGAGUGAAGAAGGUUUUCGGAUCGUAAAACUCUGUUGUUGGAGAAGAACGUAUUUGAUAGUAACUGAUCAGGUAGUGACGGUAUCCAACCAGAAAGCCACGGCUAACUACGUGCCAGCAGCCGCGGUAAUACGUAGGUGGCAAGCGUUGUCCGGAUUUAUUGGGCGUAAAGCGAGCGCAGGCGGUUUCUUAAGUCUGAUGUGAAAGCCUUCGGCUCAACCGAAGAAGUGCAUCGGAAACUGGGAAACUUGAGUGCAGAAGAGGACAGUGGAACUCCAUGUGUAGCGGUGAAAUGCGUAGAUAUAUGGAAGAACACCAGUGGCGAAGGCGGCUGUCUGGUCUGUAACUGACGCUGAGGCUCGAAAGCAUGGGUAGCAAACAGGAUUAGAUACCCUGGUAGUCCAUGCCGUAAACGAUGAGUGCUAGGUGUUGGAGGGUUUCCGCCCUUCAGUGCCGCAGCUAACGCAUUAAGCACUCCGCCUGGGGAGUACGACCGCAAGGUUGAAACUCAGAGGAAUUGACGGGGGCCCGCACAAGCGGUGGAGCAUGUGGUUUAAUUCGAAGCAACGCGAAGAACCUUACCAGGUCUUGACAUCCUUUGACCACUCUAGAGAUAGAGCUUUCCCUUCGGGGACAAAGUGACAGGUGGUGCAUGGUUGUCCUCAGCUCGUGUCGUGAGAUGUUGGGUUAAGUCCCGCAACGAGCGCAACCUUAUUACUAGUUGCCAGCAUUUAGUUGGG
rnacentral:rRNA from 1 species